CACAGGAGGAACUUGUUGAAAGG
rnacentral:piRNA from 1 species